rnacentral:lncRNA from 1 species
AUGGAGAAGAGGAGUGUCCCUUUAUUCCCCGAUUUAAGGAUUUUGAAUUACUCUACGUGUUUUCGAGAAUCAGAAAAAAUUCUCCAGCCCUCCCUCCUGAUUGCCUCCCCACCCUCACAAUGGGUAAAUAACCUAGCCCCCUUCCAUUUGGAGAAGGGUACAGGAAGAUCGGGACGGGGGUGUGCUUCUGCGAAUCUCUUAACUCGGUUGGGGCUGGAGGAUUCCGGGGUUCCGCUUCCUUUUUGCCCCGCAACCGCCGGCGCGCAAAGGGAACGUGCGGUUCCGGACUGUCCAGGGUGGGUGCCAGGCCCUCCUCGAGGGCCCACCUUCCCGGGUUCGCCCGGCAGGGCGGCGGCCCUCGGGGGCUUCCGAGGCCCCUCCCACGUCCUUGCACAGCGCAGCGCCUCCUCUGUCCCGAGCAGAGCGGCGCGCUGGGCUCUCAGCCGGACGGGUUUCGUAAUCGCGUCGCGGCCGUUUCCGCCCUCGGCCAGCCCCACCUCUGCCGGUCCGCCCUCGGCUCCCCCACCGCGCCGAGGAGCGAGCCCGGGAACCCACACUGGCGUGCCCCGAGCGGGAGCCCCCCAUCAGCUGCCGCCGGACGCCUCAAUGCCAGAGCAGAGCAGGGUUCCAAGUCUGUGGAAGACAUAACCUUGCACCUGCCUGCCCACCCCACUCUCUGACCUUGCUAACCUCUCAGGAUCUGAGACGCUGACCUUAACCGCUCAGCUCAGAGCUCCAAGGACUCCACUUUGUCUAGACCUGUCCAGCGAAACCCAGGGCGUUGUUACACCUGAGGGGAGUGAGGCGAGGGCAGUCAAGGCACAAGAACAAGAGCCCUCUGGGGCCUCAGGCAGAGGAGUGAAACUGGAACCAUCAGGGAACAUGAGUGAAUUUUGGCACAAACUGGGCUGCUGCGUGGUAGAGAAACCCCAGCCGAAGAAGAAGAGGAGACGGAUUGACCGGACCAUGAUUGGGGAACCAAUGAAUUUUGUCCACCUGACUCACAUCGGCUCUGGGGAGAUGGGGGCCGGAGAUGGACUUGCCAUGACAGGUGCAGUUCAGGAGCAGAUGAGAUCCAAGGGAAACCGAGACAGGCCAUGGAGCAAUUCUAGGGGCUUAUAGCUCCAUAGGAAUGGAUCUGCUGUGUGUCCAGCCUCCACUCUGUCCAGCCCCAGAGAGAUGCUGCCCCUACCAGUUCUCCUCCCAGAAUCAGUGGCCCAGGGCCCCUCUUUCCCUGUCUGUCUCAUAGUGCCUCACAAGGCUUGGGGGCUGGACUCCCUUUCCUCCCUCUGGUUGCAGCCCCUCCUGGAGAUGGGGUCAAGGCAGCAGGACUGACCAAGUGAUGACUAAUUGGCCAGAGGAGCUCGGCUGAAGCCUUGGACACUCUCAGAUCUGAGAUAGGAGAUUUCUGAGAACUUGGAAUGAGUUCCUGUCUCCUGAAUGAUGGUCUAGGUGCCAUAUGUUUUUAAACUGCUAACCUGGAAUUCCUUACAUGUGGUGGGUAGGUGAGAUGACCUAAGCUGAAGCCAGCUUUGCUGAGGAGCUCCCUACCCCGCUGUGUUUGUCUUUCCUCCUGGAGGGAACUGAAGUGGAUGUCAGGUCGGGUCUUGGGGGGUGAACUGGCUGCUCUUUCUAGAGUGUGGACUUUAAGUUCACUGUCCCUCCUAUCUCUUUGCCAGUACCGGGUUCUUUCUCUCAGGCCUCUAGCCCUGUUUCUGCAGCAUUGCUGGCUCCCUCAGAUCUUUUCCUCUUUUUUUAAUUAAAAUUUUAAUUUAAGAUGAGAUCUCUUAAUUACCCCAUCUUGCUACUACCUCUGCCCUUAACCCCAACCUUGUCAUGAGCCUUAUUAUUUCCCAUUGGAUAAGAGUUAAGGGGUGAGUCUUAACCUGGAGACAUCCCUUUUUAGUCUUGGGGAUCUGCCUUCUGCCAACCUCCCUUCUGGCCUAGGUGAGAGGAGGAAGAGGGAUCUUGGAGAAGAACCCAGAAGGCCACAAAACUAGGAGUUUAUGUCUCAGGGUAGACUUAUUGAUCACUGAGGAUGGGAGGGGUGGUGAGAUAAAUAGGUUGAAAAGUCAUCCUAAAAUGAGCUUAGGAUCCUCAUAGCAUGGGAGUUGGAAGACCUCUAGAGCAAGUUUUCUCAAAACUAGGCACUUUGACAUCUUGGGCUGGAUAAUUCUUCGUAGGGAGGGACUGCCUUGUGCAUUGUAGGACAUUCAGCAGCAUCCCUGCCCACCCUAGUUGUGACAACCAAAAAUGUCCCCCGAUGUGGCCAAAUGUCUCCUAGAGGGCAACCUCCCCGCUGAGAGCCACAGCUUAGAGUCAAGAUAUUUUCCUCUUACCUGACUUCCACUUGUUCAUCCUAAGCCUGAACCAUGGAUAAAUGAGGGCCCCUUGUAAAACAGGUUCAGUAGGGCUGCACCUAAUCUCCAAACUCUACUCACUGUGUUGCUUGUGCUUGCGUGGGUUCACGCCUCUGUAUGGACAUGUGCUGCAAUGCUCCAUCCUUAUUCUCUCCAGGGGAGGGGUUCCUGCGGUGUGGGGGCCUGAACAGGGUGAAAUGGGGUUGCAGAAGGAAGGAAGAGAAACAGUAGAGCUGCAGCCAACCCAGCUUAUCCCCCCCAAAUUUAAACUGUAUUUCUGUGCCCUAGUCCUAGAACCAGACACAACUAAGACUCAGGGAGUUUUGUCUGAAGACCAGCAUCCCACUGCCCACCUGGCUGAAGAGUCUGCCUUAGGUGGGAAAAUACUGUAGGAGCAGGGUCUUUAAGGCGCUUUCAGUUUUCUCAGGUGUUUUGUUCUGGCCCCUUCCUUGCAGGGUAUUUAGAAGGGCAGAACAGAUAAGCUCCUGCCUGCUCAGAUGAGAAGGCUGGGGUCUCUUUAGCUCAGUAACAGGAAGCAUCCUGUUUGAUGGGAGUGGGAGUCAGGAAUGUGAGAACUAAGGUCCACUCUGCUGAUUCCACCAUCCAUCUGGUUCGCCCCCACCUAUAGUAACUGAGGUUCUCAUUUUUUCAAAUUUCAGUGUAUUUCCUGCAGUUUUUCAGUGUCUAAGCUUGGUCAUAGGGAUACAUUCCCAAUGUACUCAGUUCCAGUCUAGCUAAUUGCUCUGCAAGUACUCAGUAGUCUGAGGGUUAUACUAGAUCUAAAGUGUUAACAGGAUAGGGCAGGAAGAUGAGGACCUCCUGGAAUCUCUGGUCACCCUGAUCUUGAGCCUUAUUCUACUGCCUGUUCUUUACACACAAUCUUCUUUUCUUUGGUGCUCUCUCACCUUUAGCUACCUUCUCUAAUGUGUAUGCUACCAUCAUUUUAACAAUAUUGAGAGUGAUGGGAAUGGGUUUGAGAGUCAUAAUUUAUAUUAAAAAUUGUUGGACUUUUAAAUACAUUUUC